rnacentral:rRNA from 1 species
GUCGAACGGGCUCUUCGGAGCUAGUGGCGGACGGGUGAGUAACGCGUGAGGAUCUGCCUUCAGGAGGGGGAUAACGACUGGAAACGGUCGCUAAUACCGCAUAUGCCUACGGGUGAAAGAUUUAUCGCCUGGAGAUGAACUCGCGUCAGAUUAGCUAGUUGGUGGGGUAAGAGCCUACCAAGGCGACGAUCUGUAGCUGGUCUGAGAGGAUGAUCAGCCACACUGGGACUGAGACACGGCCCAGACUCCUACGGGAGGCAGCAGUGGGGAAUUUUCCGCAAUGGGCGCAAGCCUGACGGAGCAAGACCGCGUGCGGGAUGACGGCCUAAUGGUUGUAAACCGCUUUUCUCUGGGAAGAUGAUGACGGUACCAGAGGAAUCAGCCUCGGCUAACUCCGUGCCAGCAGCCGCGGUAAUACGGAGGAGGCAAGCGUUAUCCGGAAUUAUUGGGCGUAAAGCGUCCGUAGGUGGUUAUUCAAGUCUGCAGUCAAAGCGUGGGGCUUAACUCCAUAGAGGCAGUGGAAACUGGAUGACUUGAGUGCGGUAGGGGUCGAGGGAAUUCCCAGUGUAGCGGUGAAAUGCGUAGAUGUUGGGAAGAACACCAGUGGCGAAAGCGCUC